rnacentral:rRNA from 1 species
UACGUAGGGCGCAAGCGUUGUCCGGAAUUAUUGGGCGUAAAGAGCUCGUAGGCGGCUUGUCACGUCGGGUGUGAAAGCCCGGGGCUUAACCCCGGGUCUGCAUUCGAUACGGGCAGGCUAGAGUGUGGUAGGGGAGGAUCGGAAUUCCUGGUGUAGCGGUGAAAUGCGCAGAUAUCAGGAGGAACACCGGUGGCGAAGGCGGAUCUCUGGGCCAUUACUGACGCUGAGGAGCGAAAGCGUGGGGAGCGAACAGG